CUCCAUACGCCUCUCUGGGACUCAGGACCUUCCUCAGGAAGAGAAGAGGCUGUCAGGGCAGAAUUUCAGUAAACUCCUUGAAUGAAUGCACAUUCCACACCUCACUCCUAGCUUUUGCUUUGGAGGUCAUAAUGGCGAUGAGCAAUCAAUUGUCCAGUGCUCUUUCAAGAAUAGUGGCUACAACAAUGGUGGUAGUGUCCCCGUGAAGAUGGACCUUUUUUUCCCGUGGAUCCUGGAUGUGUUCCAGCUGACAGCGUUUGACUUCUACAAGAUGAUUGAGAGCUUCAUCAAGGCUGAGCCCAGUCGGAGUAAAGACAUCGUCAAGCACUUGGAGCUCUGCGAACACCUCAUCAUGGAGACUUUCCUGGAGAAGGGGCAAUGACCCAACACGCCUCCAGGCUGUGUAAGGGCAAUUUGACCCAGAAGGAGAGUGAUGGAGUGCUGCAUCAGAUGACCUGACCUCCACAAUCCCCCGACCUCAAUUAAAUUGAGAUGGUUUGGGAUGAGUCGGACAGCAGAGUGAAGGAAAAGCAGCCAACAAGUGCUCAGCAUAUGUGGGAACUCCUUCAAGACUGUUGGAAAAGCAUUCCAGGUGAAGCUGGUUGAGAGAAUGCCGAGUGUGCAAAGCUGUCAUCAAGGCAAAGAAAUAUAUUUUGAUUUGUUUAACACUUCUUUUCUUUUUUUUUUGGUUACUACAUGAUUCCAUGUGUGAUUUCAUAGUAUUGGAGUCUUCACUAUUAUUCUAGUAAUAGUAAAACUCUUGAAUGAGUAGAUGUUCUAAAACUUUUGACCUGUAAGGUAACUAAAGUGAAUAAUGUUUCUGAUAAGAUCUGACAACUGUGUUCCAAAGGUCAAACCCAACAUGACCAAUGGCAACAAGGAACAGGGGUUGUUAACCCUGUGGGUUAAGCUAGCCUCAUUGAAUAGGGGUGUGAAAUUCUCUUGUUAUUAUAGGAAGGAACCUAGUCGGUAACAAUUUUUCAAAUGUGUCAAUGAUGAAUUAAUCUAUUCUUGACAGUCCGUUGAAGGCUAAACAACGUUUUUGACCCUGAGAGUGGCUCUGGCAAUAGUCAACUUGUUCUGGAUGGGGUAGGGCAAUAUAAACUGCUUGUUCCAUACGAACACACAUAAUGUUCAGGAUUGUAGGGUCAAAACAGACACAUUCUUUCCCCUCUUGCAGUUGAACCCUUUGUCAGGACAGCAUACUUGAGAUUGAGGGAAUAGCUGAAACCAGAGUCAUUCAGUGUUUUCUUCCCUCAGUGCAGUCUGAGGACACAGCUGGGCUGUAGAAUAACCAUUAAAGAAGGCGGUUCCGUGUCUAAUUUCGAGUCCUGUUAUGUGGACCACAUAACAGUGAAAACACAGGUUAAUUCCAAACAACUGUCACUCACUGUGCUCCCAUACAUUAGCGCACACAUCCAAAUGAACUUAUGGUCACUUCACAUCAGGGGUUAGUUUUCAGAAGUCUGCAUUUUCCAAAUCCAGACCCUUCCGGAAAUCUGUGUUUUUAAUAGAUUUCACCUGCAUUCUAAUUAAACACACUAACAAUGAAUACAUGGGUCCACUCAGGAAAAUAUGGGUCAGUUAAAGAGGGUGCUAUGUGGAAACAACUUUGUUUUCUUUAACCUAUGUCAUUGUAAAACCAGCAGCAUACCACUCUGCAUCCCACUGCUGGCUUGCUUCUGAAGCUAAGCAGGGUUGGUCCUGGUCAGUCCCUGGAUGGGAGACUAGAUGCUGCUGGAUGUGGUGUUGGAGGGCCGGUAGGAGGCACUCUUUCCUCUGGUCUAAAAAAUAUUCAAAUUCCUUAUGGUAGUGAUUGGGGACACUGCCCUGUGUAGGGUGCCGUCUUUCAGAUUGGACGUUAAACAGGGGGCCUGAUUCUGAGGUCAUUAAAGAUCUCAUUGCACUUAUUGUAAGACUAGGGGUGUUAAUCCCGGUGUCCUGGCUAAAUUCCCAAGCUGUCCCUCAUACCGUCAUGGUCACCUAAUCAUUCCCAGUUUACAAUUGGCUCAUUCAUCCCCCUCCUCUCCUCUGUAACUAUUCCCCAGGUUGUUGCUGUAAAUUAGAAUGUGUUCUCAGUUAACUAACCCGGUAAAAAAAAAAAAAAAAGUAGUCACAACAUUCAUUCAUCUGAAUGAUAUAAUAACCUCCAUUCUUGUACUCAACAGUGUUGAUGAAAUACAAAUGCUGUAGGUGCAUUGGAAAAAUUACAAGCUCGCCAUAUGCAUUUAAUGAAUUCAUUAUUCAAAAGGCACUCGCACAUCUGAGCAAUCUAUUUUGCAGGUGCAUGGUAACAGUUGAACAAGAUGAAGGAAAAGGGAAACCGCACACUGUAUUCGUCAGAGCUUUUGUGUGUUUUUUAUAAAUGGCACCCUUAUGUAGACCUAGCCCCACCCACAUCCGUUCCUCGCAUCGAAAGGGGUUGGAUUUCAUUAUUUUACAUUCUUCAUUGUAACCACAAUGUAACAAAUAAUCUAACUCUGGUUCAAACGAACUAGUGUGAAUUGCUACAACAUUGUCAACAUUAAAUAUGCACACUUACAUGCUGACUAGAGCGAGCACGCACGUGCGUUCGUGUUGAUUUUUGUCCAUCCACAACAGAUGCGUUCAGCACGUGCAGGUUGAAACAUCAAAACAAACUCCACCGCCUAUAUUCAUUUGGGGACCGGUCAAAACGCAUGAAACAUUCAUGUCCAUUUAGACAGCUAGCUCGCUUGCUGUUGCUAGCUAAUUUGUCCUGGGAUAUAAACAUUAGGUUAUUUUACCUGAAAUGUAGAAGGGCCCUGAGGUUUGUAGGGCCCUGAGGUUUACCUGGUCAGAAAAAACUUUGUAGUCCACCUCUUUCUCAGAUUAUUUGUAGGUAGGAUGAAGGGAAAGGGGGCCUGGGACUUCAUAUAGGAAAGUAUUGAGAGGGAAGUAGCCUCCAGUCCUACUCUGAAAUCUCCUUGGUAUUAUAUGGGCAAUGUUCCCCCCCUAAGCUGUGCCCAUGUGCAGACUGCUACACAGAAGAAAUAUCAGCCCACGCAGAGAAGCACGAGGUUGAACCUCACUCAAAUUUCUGGUGUUUUUCCCCUUAGUUCACAUUAUCAACAUUUCUCUUUACUGUGGGAAUUGGGAUCGAAUCAAUGCAAUAUUAGCCACUUUCAAUGCAACAUACCGAAACAAAACGAACUAGACUUAGUAUGCAAAACUAACAACGCAAGAUAUUUUUUUGUAGGCAGAACACAUUGGAGUAGGAUUAUGUUGCAUUGACAUAUGACUCAGCCCGUACUCUACACAGACCGGUGCCGCAUAACCAAUCAGAACUGCAGUAGGUCUAUAUGCAAAUAGACCAUUGCCAUAUGGAUCUGUGCCAUUCUCUUUGAAUUGGACUGUGUUUAUAGCAUGAGCGGUCGUGAGUAGAUGCACUUGUUUUGAGAUCAAAGCGAGAGCUGCAUGUAGCCACGUGCACAUUUGUUCAUAUCCUUUGCUAGUUAGUAAGUUUUUAGGCCUCUUAUAGAUCAUUUGUAGUCAGCAAUAGGGGAGUGAUCGCUUCCUACACUAGCACCAAACAUGUACAUUUCUAGUACAUGUUGAAAAGUGAGUCAGGUAAAGAGCUUUUUUGUCUUAAAGGGGCAGUGUUGUAAUUUUGAGAAUGAGCUAAGUAGCAAAUAGGCAGAGGGUAACAUCAUUUGUCUGAUUCUCUGAUAAUGGUAUGGGAAUAAUAAUGCAUUUUUAUUUUGUAAAGUGGUUUCUUGCAUCAAACAACAUUUUCAGUCACCUCCUUUUGUCUGAAGGACAAGUGGAUAAACAGGUUAAUCGCAAGCUCUGCAUGCUUUAUUUUUUAAAUGUCUCAUACCAUGUGAACACCACACAUUGGCUGAUGGUAGGCUUAGAUUAUGAUCAAAUAGCCAUAGUGGCCUACUUGACCACCGUCUGUAACGUAAAGUGGGUACAGCCUCAGUGUUCACAGUAAUCAUGCGCUGUAAUUUUCACAAUGUUCAAUUUGCUCCGUGCCAAAAAACAUUUGAGGGAACAUUGUUUGAGUAUUGUCUGUUAUGCUAGCUAUUUUUUUAUGUAGAAUUGGGCAAUAUUACUGUGGCAUAGUCUAUCAAGGAUGAUUGACAGCCAUCGUCAAUGGUGACGACAUUGUAAUGUGACAACAGAAGAUGCCUAUUUCAACUUGACUGGCACCAUGCAGUAUAAAGAGCAAGGCAGUGCAUGGGUGACAUUCACAGUAAAUUGCUAUUUGCUAUGUGCUAUAGCCUAUUCAAAUAAAUGUUAUAUUUACAGAAUGCAAGAGAACAAUGUAGCACCAGCUGUUCUGGAUGACUGUGAUAACGCUCUCGGUAGCCGAUGUGAGUAAGACCUUUAAACAGGUCAACAUUCACAAAGCCGCGGGGCCAGACAAAUUACCAGGACAUGUACUCAAAUCAUACAUGGACCAACUGGCAAGUGUCUUCACUGACAUUUUCAACCUCUCCCUGACCGAGUCUGUAAUACAGUUGAAGUCGGAAGUUUACAUACACUUAGGUUGGAUUCAAUAAAACUAGUUUUUCGAGAACUCCACAAAUUUCUUGUUAACAAACUAUAGUUUUGGCAAGUCGGUUAGGACAUCUACCUUGUGCAUGACACAAGUAAUUUUUCCAACAAUUGUCUACAGACAGAUUAUUUCACUUAUAAUUCACUGUAUCACAAUUCCAGUGGGCCAGAGGUUUACAUACACUAAGUUGACUGUGCCUUUAAACAGCUUGGAAAAUCCAGAAAAUGAUGUCAUGGCUUUAGAAGCUUCUGGUAGGCUAAUUGACAUCAUUUGAGUCAAUUGGAGGUGUACCUGUGGAUGUAUUUCAAGGCAUACCUUCAAACUCAGUGUCUCUUUGCUUGACAUCAUGGGAAAAUCAAAAGAAAUCAGCCAAAAACAUUGUAGACCUCCAAGUCUUUCAUCCUUCAGCAAUUCCCAAAUGCCUGAAGGUACCACGUUCAUCUGUACGAACAAUAGUACGCAAGUAUAAACACCAUGGGACCACGCAGCCGUCAUACUGCUUAGGAAGGAGACGCGUUCUGUCUCCUAGAGAUGAAUGUACUUUGGUGUGAAGUGUAAAUAAAUCCCAGAACAACAGCAAAGGACCUUGUGAAGAUGUCCCGCUCCGUGGAUCGACGACUCAUUGCGAGCUCACAGAACAGGGCUCCGGGCAGCCGAGCGGAAAUGGAGGAAAACUCGCCUCCCUGCGGACCUGGCAUCCUUUCGCUCCCUCCUCUCUACAUUUUCCUCCUCUGUCUCUGCUGCUAAAGCCACUUUCUACCACUCUAAAUUCCAAGCAUCUGCCUCUAACCCUAGGAAGCUCUUUGCCACCUUCUCCUCCCUCCUGAAUCCUCCUCCCCCUCCCCCCCUCCUCCCUCUCUGCAGAUGACUUCGUCAACCAUUUUGAAAAGAAGGUCGACGACAUCCGAUCCUCGUUUGCUAAGACAAACGACACCGCUGGUUCUGCUCACACUGCCCUACCCUGUGCUCUGACCUCUUUCUCCCUCUCUCUCCAGAUGAAAUCUCGCGUCUUGUGACGGCCGGCCGCCCAACAACCUGCCCGCUCGACCCUAUCCCCUCCUCUCUUCUCCAGACCAUUUCCGGAGACCUUCUCCCUUACCUCACCUCGCUCAUCAACUCAUCCCUGACCGCUGGCUACGUCCCUUCCGUCUUCAAGAGAGCGAGAGUUGCACCCCUUCUGAAAAAACCUACACUCGAUCCCUCCGAUGUCAACAACUACAGACCAGUAUCCCUUCUUUCUUUUCUCUCCAAAACUCUUGAACGUGCCGUCCUUGGCCAGCUCUCCCGCUAUCUCUCUCAGAAUGACCUUCUUGAUCCAAAUCAGUCAGGUUUCAAGAAUAGUCAUUCAACUGAGACUGCUCUUCUCUGUAUCACGGAGGCGCUCCGCACUGCUAAAGCUAACUCUCUCUCCUCUGCUCUCAUCCUUCUAGACCUAUCGGCUGCCUUCGAUACUGUGAACCAUCAGAUCCUCCUCUCCACCCUCUCCGAGUUGGGCAUCUCCGGCGCGGCCCACGCUUGGAUUGCGUCCUAUCUGACAGGUCGCUCCUACCAGGUGGCGUGGCGAGAAUCUGUCUCCUCACCACGCGCUCUCACCACUGGUGUCCCCCAGGGCUCUGUUCUAGGCCCUCUCCUAUUCUCGCUAUACACCAAGUCACUUGGCUCUGUCAUAACCUCACAUGGUCUCUCCUAUCAUUGCUAUGCAGACGACACACAAUUAAUCUUCUCCUUUCCCCCUUCUGAUGACCAGGUGGCGAAUCGCAUCUCUGCAUGUCUGGCAGACAUAUCAGUGUGGAUGACGGAUCACCACCUCAAGCUGA